rnacentral:rRNA from 1 species
UCCUACGGGGGGCAGCAAUCAGGAAUAUUGCGCAAUGGGGGAAACCCUGACGCAGCGACGCCGCGUGCGGGAGGAAGGCCUUCGGGUCGUAAACCGCUGUUGUGGGAGACGAAGGAGCCUGAAGAAGGCGCGAGACGGUAUCCCACGAGGAAGCCCCGGCUAACUACGUGCCAGCAGCCGCGGUAAUACGUAGGGGGCGAGCGUUGUCCGAAGUUACUGGGCGUAAAGCGCGCGUAGGCGGCUCUUUAAGUGGCCGGUGAAAUCCCCGGGCUCAACCCGGGGUGGUCUGGUCAUACUGGGGAGCUGGAGUGUGGGAGAGGAGAGUGGAACUCCUGGUGUAGCGGUGAUAUGCGUAGAGAUCAGGAAGAACACCCGUGGCGAAGGCGGCUCUCUGGACCACAACUGACGCUGAGGCGCGAAAGCCAGGGGAGCGAACGGGAUUAGAUACCCCGGU